rnacentral:lncRNA from 1 species
UGAUAUCCUUGGAUUCAAUGGACAAACUACUAGUAGCAACUAGACAUGUUUUUAUUUCCAAGAAUGCUUGUAAUGAGCUGGUCAAAAAAUUCAUAGGAUACAGGGUGCUAACAAUGGUUUCCAUUAAAUCCUAAUAAACGUACAGGGUGAGGGUAAAUCAAGUGACCACGAAACGUGAGGAAGCAGAACCCCAAUCACGCUUCUUUCUUUUAAGCUUGGAAAGGGAUGCAUUUAAACGUAUUAAAUGAACAAGGAAACAGAAAAUAAGAAGGACUGAAAGUGGAGAAGUGGAGCCCUUUAAUUUUCCUUCCUCUUGGGCGUGAAGGUGCAAUUUUCAGAAAAUACAUGCAAUCCAGAUUACACGGAUGCAUAAAAGGAAGGUUGCGGUGCGAUGUGUGGCUUAUCCCACUUAUUUCCUUUCAUCUGCAUUUACUAUUAAGAGGCAUUUCUCUUUUGUCAGCACAUGGAAUAAAACUCGAGCACGUGUAGUGAUCCUCUAGAUCGUCUGACAAAUGGGAGAGAAUUAAAGUUCAGGUUGAUGGUACCGAAACAAUAUCUACAAUGUUUGGUGGACUACAUUCUUGAUUUGCUGUCUUCGUCUUCACCUUGCAACAUUAUACAGUCAAUUUCCAAGUGAUGAGUGAGGGCAACUGAAGAUUUAUGUGAAUUCCACUGAAAUAAGAAAUUUUCUGCAUUGGCAUUCCUCUUGGAUUUGAUUUGCUUUUCACACCUGCAAACUUUG